rnacentral:rRNA from 1 species
AGUGAACGCUGGCGGUAGGCCUAACACAUGCAAGUCGAACGGCAGCACAGUAAGAGCUUGCCCUUACGGGUGGCGAGUGGCGGACGGGUGAGGAAUACAUCGGAAUCUACUUUUUCUUGGGGGAUAACGUAGGGAAACUUACGCUAAUACAGCAUAUGACCUACGGGUGAAAGCAGUGGAUCUUCGGACCUUGCGCGAUUGAAUGAGCCGAUGUCGGAUUAGCUAGUUGGCGGGGUAAAGGCCCACCAAGGCGACGCUCCGUAGCUGGUCUGAGAGGAUGGUCAGCCACACUUGAACUGAGACACGGUCCAGACUCCUACGGGAGGCAGCAGUGGGGAAUAUUGGACAAUGGGCGGAAGCCUGAUCCAGCCAUCGCGCGUGGGUGAAGAAGGCCUUCGGGUUGGAAAGCCCUUUUGUUGGGAAAGAAAAGCAGCAGGUUAAUACCCCGCUGUUCUGACGGUACCCAAAGAAUAAGCACCGGCUAACUUCGUG